rnacentral:rRNA from 1 species
GAUGAACGCUGGCGGCGUGCCUAAUACAUGCCAGUCGAGCGAACGGACGAGAAGAUUGCUUCUCUGAUGUUAGCGGCGGACGGGUGAGUAACACGUGGAUAACCUACCUAUAAGACUGGGAUAACUUCGGGAAACCGGAGCUAAUACCGGAUGAUAUUUUGAACCGCAUGGUUCAAAAGUGAAAGACGGUCUUGCUGUCACUUAUAGAUGGAUCCGCGCUGCAUUAGCUAGUUGGUAAGGUAACGGCUUACCAAGGCAACGAUGCAUAGCCGACCUGAGAGGGUGAUCGGCCACACUGGAACUGAGACACGGUCCAGACUCCUACGGGAGGCAGCAGUAGGGAAUCUUCCGCAAUGGGCGAAAGCCUGACGGAGCAACGCCGCGUGAGUGAUGAAGGUCUUCGGAUCGUAAAACUCUGUUAUUAGGGAAGAACAUAUGUGUAAGUAACUGUGCACAUCUUGACGGUACCUAAUCAGAAAGCCACGGCUAACUACGUG